CGCGAAGAGCUUGCUCUUUGGCGACGAGUGGCGGACGGGUGAGUAAUACUUAGGAAUCUACCCAGUAGCGGGGGACAACUCGGGGAAACUCGAGCUAAUACCGCAUACGCCCUACGGGGGAAAGCAGGGGAUCUUCGGACCUUGCACUAUUGGAUGAGCCUAAGUCGGAUUAGCUAGUUGGUAGGGUAAAAGCCUACCAAGGCGACGAUCCGUAGCUGGUUUGAGAGAACGACCAGCCACACUGGGACUGAGACACGGCCCAGACUCCUACGGGAGGCAGCAGUGGGGAAUAUUGGACAAUGGGGGCAACCCUGAUCCAGCCAUGCCGCGUGAGUGAUGAAGGCCCUAGGG
rnacentral:rRNA from 1 species